rnacentral:piRNA from 1 species
UGAAAGAGUACAGUAAGCAGGGUGUC